UACGGAGGGUGCAAGCGUUAUCCGGAUUCACUGGGUUUAAAGGGUGUGUAGGCGGGGAUUUAAGUCAGUGGUGAAAUCUCCAGGCUCAACCUGGAAACUGCCAUUGAUACUAUUUAUCUUGAAUAUCGUUGAGGUUGGCGGAAUAUAUCAUGUAGCGGUGAAAUGCAUAGAUAUGAUAUAGAACACCGAUUGCGAAGGCAGCUAACUAAGCGAUUAUUGACGCUGAGGCACGAAAGCGUGGGGAUCAAACAGG
rnacentral:rRNA from 1 species